CCCUUUUGUAGCAAAUAUGUAGAAGGGGGAAGAAAGUCUGGCAUUUUGCAAUUCCAGCCCCAGGACUUGGGUUCCCAGCAAACAAUGCAACAUACAGCCUGGGUCGGAAACUCCCAGAAUUACUGAGGGGAGAAGAGGGGGUUUUCCAGUGAUCUGUCCUUUAGGGUUUAAAAGCGCAUUCCCGGGAGCGACUCUCAUUCUCUAUGAAGUUGUGAGCUCCGAGAGCCCAGCGACUCCCUGAACCCAGGCAGCCUGUUACAAUCGAGGGAAGCUGAGACAUGAACCUGAAGCAGGAGUCUGAAGCAGGUUCUUUUCCGUCACCACCAAAUCAGUUUGAGUCAGAGUAGAAGAAGCUCCAGCACAUCGGUAUCACCACCAUUGCCAUUGCUGUCCUCAUGUUUCAGUGGGCAUCACCUCCUGAAAAAGAAAAGAUUAUACAAGGGGAAUUUAUUUCAAUAGCCUUUUAUUUUACUGAAAACUGUAUAUGUCUAACGUAAAAUUAUAUUUUAUUCAGCCACCAGAGGGAGCCUCCAAAUGUAUGGAUUCUGAAAAAGAAAUAUGACUGAAGUAAGUGUCAACUUUAUAAAUCUUAUGAUUGACAAUUAAAAGCCCAAUCCAUUCCAUGCCAUUGGGUUCCAUGAUUCUUUUCACCCAGAAGGUGUCUAAGGUCUUCUCCUGAUACAUGUGCCACAUCAUUUUGAUUAAUAGUUCUUAUAGAAUAGACUAUUUUUUGCAUGAUUUUGAUUUUUGUCAUAGUUUGAGUGUUUCUGGUAUUUUAAUUUUACAAUUUGAUUGUUGAGGCUCAUCAAUUUCUUGCUUCAAAAGUAUUUUUCUUCCAUACUUCUUUUUGAUCCUAGAUCUUACAGGUGUAUUUUUAGUCUUCAAAUUGAUGAUCUUUAUCCACAUAUAUUUUUUUUCUGUAACCCCCAAAUUGAGGGUUUGUCACAUCUCUUCCUUUCCAUAUUUAUUUAUUUUGAUACAUUGCUUGUCUGGCCAGGUUUUAUUAUUAAAUAUUUAAGAAGAGUCCUGGGGUUUUAGAGUUAUGAGUCUUUUUUAUAUUUGGAAAUGUCAGCCUAAUACAUGUUUGACAAAUAGGGUGAACAUGAUAUUCUCAGGUGGUUUCCUUCCAUCAUCUGCAAUUUCAUUUUCUCCCAUGGAGAAUCAAGUGUUUCAAAAAUUUCCCACAAAUAUUAUUUACACAGUGCAUGAGGAAGGAUGUUAUCCAACUGCUUCCUGCAGGCAGAGCUGACUAUCUUUCAUAAUUAAGAGCUCUGGACCUCCCAGAAAUGCCCUUCUUUGAUUGCUAAGCACCUUGUAAGUAAACUUCAGUCACCGUGUCCUUGUGGCUUUCUGGUGUGCUCUCUCUCUCUCUCCAUCCCUCAUUAUAUAGACUUAUGCAUUUAUCAUGAUACUGUUACCACAGUAGUUAAGGUAGUAAAUAUAAGUAAAUAUAUCUAUUAUGUCAAAGAAUUUCCUCUUAUCUCCUAUCUAUUGUGAUAAGGACACUUAUGGUAGUAGCACAACCCUAGGGAAGGACAGCUCUUGAAAGAAUUCUGUUUGUCAACUGCUUCUGCAUCCUGCUGUCAAGUGUCCCAAUUUUUUUUUCACACAGUAAUGUCAUCAAUCAUGUUUUGUGGCUGUGAAAAACUGUUGUUCACAGAGGUUAAGCAAAUUAUCCAAGGUCACAGAGCAGAUGAGUGAAGCCUGGGAACUGAUCCAGGACUCUGAACUGCUGGGUUGACAUAUUGUCAACCAUUGCUUCACACAGCUGCAGGCUGGCCUGCUCCUUACCAUUGCGCUUAAUAAAAGUCAGCUAUUUUAACUCUCAACCUGAGUUGAAGUCAAUGGAAUUUCACUAAAAUUACUAGAAUGUUGUCUCAGUAGAAAAAUGAAUUUUGAAUAAUGAAUAGAGGUGAAACUGAUUCAUUCCAAGUCAGUAUUGACAUAGUCAUCCUUCUUUUCUUUCUUUUAACUUCUUAUUCUCCUGAAACUGCUUACAGAAGUGCAGUAUUUCCACAAAAGGUUUCCAUGAAGACACCACGAUAUUCAUGAAUUUCAUGAAUAUCAACAUUUUAGACAGAGUAUUCCUUUGAUAUUUGUAUAAUUACAUAAUAAUUGUAUGUUGAUCACUAUGUGGAUAAAUAAAGGCUAUUUUCAAAUAAAGUAAAAUAUGAAAUA